ensembl:lncRNA
CUGUACUGCAGAUGCACACAGACACACAGAUCCAGCUGCAGGAGCCUGAACAAUAAAGAUAAACAAUAAGGAGUUUAUACUGUAUCACAGUCAUGAGCUGCUUCUUCAGACCAGUGUGACGGGGAGGACGGGGCUGGAGAACUAUAGUGGGCUAUACUGUAUAUUCUCUAGUUUAAAAAGAAAUCUAAUGACAUGGUAAAAAAGCGACUUUCUAAAACAGAAGUAUGCUCAUUUAUCGGUGACGUGAGCUGAGAACAAAACUGCUGAUGUGAUUUUCCCCUCAAUCACAUCUUUGUAGCCUUUCUGGACCUUGAAGGUACUCCAGUGUUAUGCCACUGAGUCAAAAGACAAAUUUAAAGCAGACCGCUGCAUUCUUCUAGUACGUCUGGACUAAAUCUUCUUCUACUUGGUUUGUUUUUCUCCUGGCGAGAGAAUGAGGAUUCUUCAUGUUCUCACUUUUUGCUGCUUGUCAGCCGUGUGCGCGGGGGUCUCGGCCGUGCUUGAGGUGAGAGGCCAUGUUGGAGGAGAGGUCUCUGUCCACUGCUCUGGCGGCUGGACCACCGACAACGACUCCGAACACUUCAACAUGUACUUCUGCAAAGGAGACUGCUCCAGGGAAAACACCCUCAUUCAGACUGAGAGGAAGGCCUCGGCCAUCACAAGACGAGGGAGAUACAGCAUGGAGGUCAGCAGAGGAGAUGUAGCCUUCAAUGUGACCAUAAAUAGGCUGAGGAGGGCGGACACAGGGAGAUAUCACUGUGGUGUGGGCAAAGGCUUUAAUCUGUUGUACCAGGAGGUCAUUCUCAUAGUGCUAAAUGCGUCCACUGUUCCUCCUGGAUCUCCUCCCUCCACCACCACCACCCUGUGGACUGAAGCAGAAUCUCUGCCCCAGAGCAGCUUUCAACCCAGAACUGAACCGUCCCCAGCAGCAUUAACCCUGCCCGCUGCACAGGAGAAGACAAACCAGCGAGCAGCAACCAAACUCAAAGACACCACGGUGGUCAUCAUCGUCUCGGUGAGCCUGGCUCUUCUGGUUUGUGCGAUUAUACCUCUGAUAUUCUACAGACACUUCCGGAGUAACCCUGGUGAGGUGACCCAUGCACACAGACAUAAAAGUGCAUAACCUAGUUAUACUCCAUAGUGUGAUCUUAAAUAUUUCCUGUUGCUUAUCUGUUUCAGAACAUCAGAACCAUCCUGAAACAAACAAGGGCGAGGUGAGUGACCAUUCUGUCAUUGUCUUUUUAUAUUCAGUUUAAAAUGUCUUCUGCGAAUGACUUUCAAAAGAAUAACUGCCCAGAUAAAUUCCUUUUUUACAGGCGGAUUGCUCUGAGGGAAAUGCAGAUGUUGCCUCCACUCAGGCUGCAGUAGGCCUGCAGUCUUUACAGCCAGAUGCUGAUCCAGAGUCCGGUGCUCAGGAUGACGCCCAGUAUGCUGACACCUACCAGGCACUCAGUCACAAGAGUCUGGACUGAACAGGGUUUCCUUUGUUUCUGAGCUGAAAUCUGACCUCAAACUCUUCACUGUACUGACUAUAUGAUUUUAUUUUCAGGGUCAAAUAUAUACUAUUCCUUUACAAUUUGUAUGUUUGUACGAGACUAAAUGGAAGAAUAGGAAUGAGAGCAGGAAGGUUUUAGCAUGUUAAGGAAGCCUCAGUUAGACACAUCUGGUUCUGCGUGAUGAAAGUGAAGGUGUGUGCAGGUAGAUUUGCAGGAUUUAAAGUGAAACUCUCGCCAAAAUGCAACCUUUUUGUGAAUGUACCCGAGUCAAACCUUCAUGUAAAAGCAUAAUUACAACGAAAGCGCCACUUUUAAGAUUUACCGUAUUUUUGUUUACGGGUCAAACUCAUUUUCAAUGGAGUGCUACGGGCAUUUAUAUGAUAGCAUCAAAAUCGCUAUUUUUAAAACACUAAGAAGGCUCGACACAACAUGAAACUUUGCUAGUAGUAUCACGAGGGUCUCUACACAUGAACACGAGCAUUGAGAACAUUGUUUGUGUAUACAGAGUAAGGUUUUUGACUCAGGUACAUUCACAAAAAGACCCUAGGUUGCAUUUUGGCAAGAGUUUCACUUUAACUACGAUGUGGUCGUACAGGUAUGCAAGAAAAUUAGAUCAUGAAUGACGAAGGAAAUAUAACUCACAUUGUAAUUUGUACUUUCUUUUUAUGUAUGAAUUCAGUUUGUCAUAAUCAAACAGAAAACAUAUUUGACCUUUAGUGAUAUUUAUUUUAGGCUUUGUCUUUAGAAAAUUGAAAUAGUUUCGGAGAUAAAGUUCAAGAUCUGGAUAUCAGUGAGGUUAUAAUACAAAGAAGUAUUUAUCUUUUCCCUAACUGAAUAAACCUGCUGUUCUCAGAGGAAAAUAAGGUCCCUGUUUGAAGCUAGAAAGGUGGCAGGGUCCGCCAAAUAUAAACCAAGAAAAACAGUAUGAAAUUGUGAUGUCCUUUACGGUCAGUUUGUUUAUUCAGUUUAUUCAGCCCUGAAAACAAAGAGAGUUUGUUUAUUUGGUUGGUUUAUAUAAAAAUCAGUCAGUGAAGAUCUAUCUCUUCUGAUCAAAAUGCAUGCAUAGUACGCCUUUCAGUAUGUUCGAUAUGUUACAUUUGUACAUUUAGUUUCUUAUGGAUAUGUUAACAUUUUUGAUGUAACAAUUACCUUUCAGUUUUCAAUUCUAUGUUGUGACAACGCUGUGCUAAAGGUCUUCUUAGGUUUAGGCACAAAAACAGCGUAAUUAGUCAGGAGUCAGGAUCAUGUGAUAAAAGAUCAUGUUUGGACCUAAAAUACCUGGUUUUCCUGUCAUUGUGACACAGUAAAAGCAUAAAAAAAG